GUUCAGCAGCCGCGGUAAAACGUAGGUCCCGAGCGUUGUUCGGAUUCACUGGGUGUAAAGGGCGCGUAGGUGGUUGUCUUUGUCUCAUGUGAAAACUCAGGGCUCAACUCUGAGAUUGCGUGGGAAACUAGGCAGCUAGAGGACGGUAGAGGGGAGUGGAAUUCCCGGUGUAGCGGUAAAAUGCGUAGAUACCGGGAGGAACACCGGUGGCGAAGGCGGCUCUCUGGGCCGAUCCUGACGCUGAGGCGCGAAAGCUAGGGUAGCGAACCGGAUUAGAUACCCGGGUAGUCCUAGCCGUAAACGAUGGGUGUUAGGUGUUGGGGGGUAAAGACCCUUCAGUGCCGAAGCUAACGCGAUAAGCAUCCCACCUGGGGAGUACGGCCGCAAGGUUCAAACUUAAAGGAAUUGAUGG
rnacentral:rRNA from 1 species